rnacentral:rRNA from 1 species
AUUGAACGCUGGCGGCAUGCCUUACACAUGCAAGUCGAACGGCAGCAUGGAGAGCUUGCUCUCUGAUGGCGAGUGGCGAACGGGUGAGUAAUGCAUCGGAACGUACCGUGUAAUGGGGGAUAACGUAGCGAACGUUACGCUAAUACCGCAUACGACCCGAGGGUGAAAGCAGGGGAUCGGAAGACAUUGCGUUAUACGAGCGGCCGAUGUCAGAUUAGCUAGUUGGUGAGGUAAAGGCUCACCAAGGCGACGAUCUGUUGCGCGUCUGAGAGGAUGAUCCGCCACACUGGGACUGAGACACGGCCCAGACUCCUACGGGAGGCAGCAGUGGGGAAUUUUGGACAAUGGGGGCAACCCUGAUCCAGCCAUGCCGCGUGAGUGAAGAAGGCCUUCGGGUUGUAAAGCUCUUUCGGCCGGGAAGAAAUCGCACAGGCUAAUACUCUGUGUGGAUGACGGUACCGGCAUAAGAAGCACCGGCUAACUACGUGCCAGCCGCCGCCGUAA